GUGUUACAGCAAUAGGGCAGGGUGAAGACGCAGCUCUGCACAAAAGGGGAGAAAAUCCUGGAUAGGAACCAACCUCCCAGCUCAGCCUCUGCCCCCCAGCUCACAGCUGCCAUCCCAUCAGAGAGCACCAAUGUUGGCAUCAGCUUUUUUUCAAGGUGUUCCAUGGUUUAGAUGUUAGAGUCUUUUCAUCUGUUGCCUGGGUUUCUCUUGAAUAAAAGAAGACUGGCAUAUUUUUCUCCUUUUUGCUGCAAGGAAGGCCUAACGAUAACACCGGAUUUGAAGCACGGUUCUCGGCGUUGAGCACACUGACGGGACCAAGAGUAUUCCAGGAAGAAAAGCUAGAAGACUUUAAAUGCCAUGUUUUUAUUGGAAUGAAGGUGAUUUUUCAAAGGUGG
rnacentral:lncRNA from 1 species